rnacentral:rRNA from 1 species
UCAGGACGAACGCUGGCGGCGUGCUUAACACAUGCAAGUCGAACGGGGCGAUUUAAAGCUUGCUUUGAUGAGCCUAGUGGCAAACGGGUGAGUAACGCGUAGGCAACCUGCCCUCAGGAUGGGGACAACGGCCCGAAAGGACCGCUAAUACCGAAUGACGUAUCGGGAUCGCAUGAUACUGAUACCAAAGGCGGAGCAAUCCGUCACCUGAGGAUGGGCCUGCGUCUGAUUAGGUAGUUGGUGAGGUAACGGCCCACCAAGCCGACGAUCAGUAGCCGGUCUGAGAGGAUGAACGGCCACAUUGGGGACUGAGACACGGCCCAGACUCCUACGGGAGGCAGCAGUGGGGAAUCUUCCGCAAUGGGCGAAAGCCUGACGGAGCAACGCCGCGUGAAGUGAAGAAGGUCUUCGGAUCGUAAAGCUCUGUCGAAGGGGACGAACGUGGGUUCUAUCAACAACGGAACCUAAUGACGGUACCUUUCAAGAAAGCCACGGCUAACUACGUGCCAGCAGCCGC